GACCUAGAAUCGGGGGCUGGGGCGAAGGAAGAGGCGGCUAGAGAACGAAUGAACCAAGGAACGAAGGAACAAACUAACAAAUCAAUAAAUACGUGAAUGAGAGAGGAAACAAAGAGGCCAGCUUCCCACCUUGCAUAACCUUUGGACUGCUGAGGUCUCUCAGUGACCAUAUCUUAUCUCUCUUACAACACUCACUCUAUGUGUGCACAGCCUGGUUAGACAUUCAGCUCACUUGGGCCGAAGGGGUGGUCAUAGGUCUGAUUCCCUGCAUUAUCUUUUUGCUUCUCAGAUCUUUCAGGGGCCAGUUUCUUCUGUUUUCGUCUUUUCUUUUUGUCCGUCCGUCUGUCUGUCUGUCUCUCUCUUUCUCUCUUCGCUCUUCUCUUCCGUCUCCUCUCUCCUCCCACAUCUCUAGCUCACGCAGUCACUCUGUGGCCACACACCAGGGCGAGCCUGUCGCUGACUGAGCACUGGCAAACUGGCUUAGCUGUCUGUAGGUGUGGCCCUUCUGGCCGGCGAGCGAGAGCUCUGCAAUUCCAUACCCACCCCACACUCUACGUCCCAUCCCUUCUUGUUCUUUUUUGACUCUCUCUCUCAUUUUCUUCAAUGAGCCUCCGUGUCUCUCUGUCUCUGUAUCUUUUUCUGCGUCUUGCUGUAUCUCUGUGCCUCUCCGUCUCCCAACAUAUCUGUCUUCCUCUGUCUCCUUGGUGCCCUUGCUCAGGUGCCUAAGCCCCCCACAGUCGGGUCCCUCACUUUACUGGCCAGCACCGGCUCCCUCCCUGCCUCCCUCUAUCUCCAGAAACUGAAAGGACGCCGUUCGGUCUCAGUGCCGUGGCUAAGCACCCACCCCACGCUCAGGUCACUCACUCACUCUAGGCAGGCAUCGGGCUCUCUCCCUCUCUCUCUCUCUUCUCGACCCGCAGAAACCUGGCACCGCUCGCUCUGCUUGGCCCUUCACCGACCGGCCUUGGGGCUCGGCGGCCUGCCUGUGCACUCCAUAGAGGAAUCUCGAGGCUAGCGAGCAAGCCAGCAAGCCUGUGCAUUCUAGGAGUUCUGGUAUGUUGAUCUGCAGGCCGGAUCAAGUGGCGCUCAGCAUGGGAGCUCCUGGCACGGAGGAGUUAAUGAGGGAGCCGUUCGAGAGACAGCCGGCUUAAACUGAAAGUGAAAGCAAAUUGAACCAGAGACCUCGCCCGAGGAGUGAGCAAACUGAAUCAAGGAUUAAAGCUUAAAGCAACAGGACAUUAAAUUAAGUACCAAGACCUGCGCAGACAACUACCCAACAUCCUACCCGAGUCACGGUGACACAUCUCCCUGGAGCCUUAUGCUGCUUAGUCAGCCUUCUUGAGCCACACCACACCCAUGGUGGAUUUCGAUCCCUGCCAAACAGACUACAAUUGCUGACAGCCAUGCACAGAACCCCAUGACUGUGGAAGAGGCUCUUCUCGGUCUGGAGGAACAUACACCAGCCAAAUAGACUGCAUCCAAUGUUAUGCAAGGCAUGCUCCAAGACAUAGGAGAAUGACUUCAUACAGAGACACCAACAAAUGGCUGUCAACCCCUUCUCCUUGAUUGGGGGGGGAGUUUUUUCCUUACCUAGUGCCCCUUUUGGGUCCCCUAGCUGCCCUAUUGUUUCUCAUUUCUGUGAGUCCUUGUAUUUUUCAGAGGAUUAUGAUGUUCAUUAAUAACAGGAUAGACGCAUUUAUGGCAAAGCCCAUUCAGGUACACUAUCAUCAGCUGGAGAUGGCAGAUCAACAAACCUACUGGGAAGGAAUUCCCACAGUGGCCCAUAUGAUGAUGCGGCCUAACUGCUCUGGAGCAAUGGACAGGCAGUCAGAGACGGGCAACUAGGACAUGCAUGUUAAUUCCAACGGCCACCUAAGACAGGCACAGGACCAACUGCUGUUCUACAAGCCCAUGAUGGGUAAGGCCUGGUUGGGUUCACGCAAUGAGGUCCUUGACCUAAGACAGACGCUGUCCUCACAGGGCCUGCCAUACUCUUAAUUAAAUAAUAUAAAAAGGGAGGAGAUGUAGGGAGCCGAGUGACAGGCAUUGCUGCCUCCAUGCCUCUCUCUAUGGGCACUGCGUCUGCCUACAUUAACCAUAAUCCUCUCCUGCUUACAUCACGUAUCUGGAUGUGACGGUGACCCUGUUGUAUUCAUCUGUUUAACCUCUUCCUGUCCCAGCUCCCGCCCUUAGCCUAUAAAAGGUGUGAUCAUUUUCUGAAUAAACCGGAGGCUUGAUUGGA